rnacentral:rRNA from 1 species
AACGAACGCUGGCGGCGCGCCUAAUACAUGCAAGUCGAGCGAGAAGACGUAGCAAGUACGUUUGUAAAGCGGCGAACGGGUGAGGGAAUACAUGGGUAACCUACCCUCGAGUGGGGAAUAACUAGCCGAAAGGGUUAGCUAAUACCGCGUACGCUCCUUGGACUUCGGUUCGAGGGAGGAAAGUCGAUACCGUGGGUAUCGCGCUCUUGGAUGGGCUCAUGUCCUAUCAGCUUGUUGGUGAGGAACGGCUCACCAAGGCUUCGACGGGUAGCUGGUCUGAGAGGACGAUCAGCCACACUGGCACUGCGACACGGGCCAGACU